CCCGCCGGACCUGACUGCUAUCGGAUCGAUACUAAGCCAUGCGAGUUAUUGUAGCAAUACAAGGCAGACGGCUCAGUAACGCGUAGUCAACCUAACCUAUGGACGGGAAUAACCUCGGGAAACUGAGAAUAAUGCCCGAUAGAACACUAUAUCUAGAAUGGUUUGUGUUCCAAAUGAUUUAUCGCCGUAGGAUGGGACUGCGGCCUAUCAGUUUGUUGGUGAGGUAAUGGCCCACCGAGACUAUUACAGGUACGGGCUCUGAGAGGAGUAGCCCGGAGAUGGGUACUGAGACACGGACCCAGGCCCUAUGGGGCGCAGCAGGCGAGAAAACUUUGCAAUGUGCGAAAGCACGACAAGGUUAAUCCGAGUGGUUUCUGCUAAAGGAACCUUUUGUCGGUCCUAGAAACACCGAUGAAUAAGGGGUGGGCAAGUUCUGGUGUCAGCCGCCGCGGUAAAACCAGCACCUCAAGUGGUCAGGAUGAUUAUUGGGCCUAAAGCAUCCGUAGCCUGCUUUGUUAGUUUUCGGUUAAAUCUAUACGCUCAACGUAUAGGCUGCCGGGAAUACUGCAAAGCUAGGGAGUGGGAGAGGUAGACGGUACUCGGUAGGAAGGGGUAAAAUCCUUUGAUCUAUUGAUGACCACCUGUGGCGAAGGCGGUCUACCAGAACACGUCCGACGGUGAGGGAUGAAAGCUGGGGGAGCAAACCGGAUUAGAUACCCGGGUAGUCCCAGCCGUAAACCAUGCAAACUCAGUGAUGCAUUGGCUUGUGGCCAAUGCAGUGCUGCAGGGAAGCCGUUAAGUUUGCCGCCUGGGAAGUACGUACGCAAGUAUGAAACUUAAAGGAAUUGGCGGGGGAGCACCACAA
rnacentral:rRNA from 1 species